AUACCAAUAAAAGCGCCAGGCCAUUUUAUCAAAAAAAUGGUGACGAGGAGAGAGCUUAUCGAAAGAUUCGGCGGAUGGCUCUAGGCAGUGCAGUCUACAGGCAAUUCUAAAAAUACAAAGUGAUUUGUUAACAAAGAAAUUGCCAAGUACCUAG
rnacentral:ncRNA from 2 species